rnacentral:rRNA from 1 species
ACAAUGGGCGCACKNGANUCCAGCCAUGCCGCGUGAGUGAAGAAGGCCCUAGGGUUGUAAAGCUCUUUCGGCGGGGACGAUAAUGACGGUACCCGCAGAAGAAGCCCCGGCUAACUCCGUGCCAGCAGCCGCGGUAAUACGGAGGGGGCUAGCGUUGUUCGGAAUUACUGGGCGUAAAGCGCACGUAGGCGGGUCGUUAAGUCGGGGGUGAAAUCCUGGGGCUCAACCUCAGAACUGCCUUCGAUACUGGCGACCUUGAGUACGGGAGAGGUGAGUGGAAUUCCCAGUGUAGAGGUGAAAUUCGUAGAUAUUGGGAAGAACACCAGUGGCGAAGGCGGCUCACUGGCCCGUAACUGACGCUGAGGUGCGAAASGUGGGGAGCAAACAGGAUUAGAUACCCUGGUAGUCCACGCCGUAAACGAUGGAUGCUAGCCGUCGGGGAGCUUGCUCUUCGGUGGCGCNVUAACGCCUUAAGCAUCCCGCCUGGGGAGUACGGUCGCAAGAUUAACACUCAAAGGAAUUGACGGGGGCCGCACAAGCGUGGAGCAUGUGGUUUAAUUCGAAGCAACGSCAGAACCUUACCAACCCUU